rnacentral:misc_RNA from 1 species
GAUGAAGAACGUAGCGAAAUGCGAUAAGUAGUGUGAAUUGCAGAAUUUAGUGAAUCAUCGAAUCUUUGAACGCACAUUGCGCCCUAUAGUAUUCUGUAGGGCAUGCCUGUUCGAGCGUUAUUGAGACCUCAAGCUCUGCUUGGAAAUGGGCGCUUGUCUUGCCUUGCAGACUCGCCUUAAAACCAUUGGCAGCUGAUUUACAAUGUUUGGUGCACAGUACAUGAGCCCAAGUGUUGCAAUGAGUGGCCCAAAAGUAUACAAUAGAAGCUUACCUCGGAUCAGGUAGGGAUACCCGCUGAACUUAAGCAUAUCAAUAAGCGGAGGA